CUACGGGAGGCAGCAGUGGGGAAUUUUGCGCAAUGGGGGAAACCCUGACGCAGCAACGCCGCGUGGAGGAUGAAGUCUCUUGGGACGUAAACUCCUUUCGAUCGGGACGAUUAUGACGGUACCGGAAGAAGAAGCCCCGGCUAACUUCGUGCCAGCAGCCGCGGUAAUACGAGGGGGGCAAGCGUUGUUCGGAAUUAUUGGGCGUAAAGGGAGUGUAGGCGGUUUGGUAAGUCUUGUGUGAAAUCUUCAGGCUCAACCUGAAGUCUGCACGAGAAACUGCCGGGCUUGAGUAUGGGAGAGGUGAGUGGAAUUCCUGGUGUAGCGGUGAAAUGCGUAGAUAUCAGGAGGAACACCUGUGGCGAAAGCGGCUCACUGGACCAUAACUGACGCUGAGACUCGAAAGCUAGGGGAGCAAACAGGAUUAGAUACCCUGGUAGUCCUAGCCCUAAACGAUGACUGCUUGAUGUGGCGGGUACCCAAUCCUGCCGUGUCGAAGCUAAC
rnacentral:rRNA from 1 species